rnacentral:lncRNA from 1 species
AGGUCUGUGGCUUUGCACAUGUCUGUUGAAGGUCAUAUUCUCAAAUAAUUAAAUCUUGAUCCUUUGCUGCAGCCCUUCCUGAAUCCUGUUAGGACUGAGUGGGGUGGAAAUUGUAUUUCCAAGACCUGGUUCUGUCAUUCCAAGUAUCUCUAUUGUAUCAAUUCUAAAAUCAAUCAUGACUCAAAGAAAUUCCUGUUCUAUGCUUAAGCAUAGGUCAAAGCCCUUUCCAUUGUUCAGCAAAAGGUUUCUGUCCUAAAGUAAUCUUAAGAAGGGAGGAGGAGGAACCUCCCAUGCCAAUGGGGUUCACAUUCCAAUAGAGUUCCCACUAUCAAUAGGGAAUUUUUCAAGUAUGAAAUUUCCCAAUGGUGAAAUUUCCAACAUUUAUAAGUCUAAGAAAUUUUAAGGUUUACACCAUGAAGACUUAUUUGUUUGUUUAGAGCCAUGUCUUUUUUUUUUUAAUCAUUCCUUAAUAAUAUUGCCCACUACAGAGUAGCCAUUUAGUCUUUAUAACCUAUUCAUCAGUCACUGGAUUCCGCAAAUAAAUUGAUUUUAAUUAAUAAAAUACAUUCUGCUUUUUCUCCUUUCCCUAUUUGCUCAGCUUCCACUUAAGAUAUAUUCAAUUCUAAUUAUCUCUUCUAAAAAUAUACUUUUAAAGGGACUUUAUGUCUGGGGACUAUUAAUAGCGUAACAACUCCCUUACUUUUCAGUCAGCAAUAUGAAUCUGCCAUAAACCAGCCCUGAAUACAUAGACAUAGACAUAUCUCCUCACUGCUGAUUGACCUGAAUGAUAUGAACCAAUAGCUUGCUUUCCAGUUCCACUUUGGUCUGAAAGGCCAAUCCCAGUCUGAAGUGUCCAUUCCCAUUGUGAAGGGACAGAACAAAACUUAUUCCUGAUUGGUAGACUGGCACAGGAGCCAAGAACAAACAAAUGCAAUUGUUACUUGCUCUUCACUUAGUGAAUCCUGAUACUAGCUUCUCUGCUAAAUGAUCUAUAGAGCCGAGUCUCCCUCCCCAAGUAUUGUAACCUGGAAAUGGUCAUUGAAAAUGAGACCCAACAUUUUGACGUUGAUGCAUCAUUUGGAAAGGCAGUUACGACAGGACAGAAUUCCUUUAUCCUCAUUUUUCUAUGAGAGAAUGGAAAUUUGUAAAGAAGGGAACAAAUCUUCAAAGAAGAAGCUUGCUAACUCCUGAAUCCAGAGAGUGAACUGUUGCAGAAAGAUGCCAGAAAAACUACAUUACAUCAAGAUCAAGAAUGAACCUUGCAGUGUGGUUGUUUGAACUGAAGGU